CUUGGUCAUUUAGAGGAAGUAAAAGUCGUACAAGGUUUCCGUAGGUGAACCUGCGGAAGGAUCAUUACCGAGUUAGGGUUUCAUGGCCUGACCUCCAACCCUAUGUCUACUAUACCGUGUUGCUUUGGGGGUCCGCCCUUUGGGGCCGCCGGGGGCUUUACUGCUCCUGGCCUGCGCUGUCAGUAGCCUUCUUAAAUUCUUUUUAUAACUGUGUUGUCUGAGUCCAAUAUCAAAUCAUUUUAAAACUUUCAACAACGGAUCUCUUGGUUCUGGCACGAUGAAGAACGCAGCGAAAUGCGAUAAGUAAUGCGAAUUGCAGAAUUCGUGAGUCAUCGAAUCUUUGAACGCACAUUGCGCCCUUUGGUAUUCCGAAGGCAUGCCUGUUCGAGCGUCAUUAUCAACCAUCAAGCCUGGCUUGUCGUGGACUCCUUUGUCGCCUGGCGACAGAUCCAAAAGAUAAUGACCGGCGCCUGGUGACCCUAUAUGCAACGAGCUUGUAAGAGCACGCACUUAGUGGUCGCCGGCUCGGUUGUCACCCUUUAUUUUCUCACGGUUGACCUCGGAUCAGGAGGAAUACCCGCUGAACUUAAGCAUAUCAAUAAGCGGAGGAAAGGUACA
rnacentral:rRNA from 1 species